rnacentral:lncRNA from 1 species
UAUGAUACGCGGGCCCAAAGCCCAAUGUCUUUAGUAUAGCUUUUCUUUUAUGUACUUUGUAUUGUAUUAGGCAUGUGACCUAUAUAUAGGCAUGCUAACACAUCUUGUAAUCACUUUUGAGCUUAAUGAGAAUAAACUUUUCUAAUUCAGAAAAUUAUUCUCUCUUGAAAGUCAGGCUAGAGAGUCCAAGGGACCUCCUCUAGCCACCUUCCAGCACACUACCUCAUUCUUCCAUUUUCCAUCUUACCAUUGUGCUUUCUCUCUCAUCACAUUGCGUCACCUUCUCUACCAAUAGGCCUCAGACACAUCAUCAGUGGUGUCAGCUUCCUUCACCACGCGUCAGAGCCACUGCUUCGUCACUUCAAUUUCCUUACACGCCUCAGAAACGCCAAUUGCACUCUCGCAUCUCAGAACCCUUCACUCUCGCUGAACCUCCUCUACUAGGGUUAGCGAUUUCAAUGCCUCCAAUCCAUUUCUCCUCACCGAUUCAUCACUUCACCUUACAAAUCUAGUUAUUUUCAUCAUCUCUUUUAUUUUCUCCGGUCAAAAACCUCAUUCCACCGUUCAAAGUCCAUUUUCACCGUUAAAAACCAUUUUUCUCCGAUUAAAACCUUUGUUGAACCGAUCCAAACCUUGUCCACCGAUUAAACUUCGAUUUACACUGUUUAAUCGGUCCAAAUCCAGUUUCCCCUCUUUUCUAGGGUUUUAUUGUGUUCAUUGGCCACUUCCUUCGAGUCAGUUCGAUUUAGAGCUUCUUUUUCGUCAUUCCGCUG